rnacentral:rRNA from 1 species
AGAGUUUGAUCAUGGCUCAGAAUCAACGCUGGCGGCGUGCCUAACACAUGCAAGUCGAACGAGAAAGUGGAGCAAUCCAUGAGUAAAGUGGCGCACGGGUGAGUAACACGUGACUAACCUACCCUUGAGUGGGGAAUAACCUAGGGAAACCUGGGCUAAUACCGCAUAACACCUACGGGUCAAAGGAGCAAUUCGCUUAAGGAGGGGGUCGCGGCAGAUUAGCUAGUUGGCGGGGUAAUGGCCCACCAAGGCAGUGAUCUGUAUCCGGCCUGAGAGGGCGCACGGACACACUGGAACUGAAACACGGUCCAGACUCCUACGGGAGGCAGCAGUGGGGAAUUUUGCGCAAUGGGGGAAACCCUGACGCAGCAACGCCGCGUGGAGGAUGAAGUCCCUUGGGACGUAAACUCCUUUCGACCGGGAAGAUUAUGACGGUACCGGAAGAAGAAGCCCCGGCUAACUUCGUGCCAGCAGCCGCGGUAAUACGAGGGGGGCAAGCGUUGUUCGGAAUUAUUGGGCGUAAAGGGUGCGUAGGCGGUUCGGCAAGUCUUGUGUGAAAUCUUCGGGCUCAACUCGAAGUCUGCACGAGAAACUGCCGGGCUUGAGUGUGGGAGAGGUGAGUGGAAUUUCCGGUGUAGCGGUGAAAUGCGUAGAUAUCGGAAGGAACACCUGUGGCGAAAGCGGCUCACUGGACCACAACUGACGCUGAGCACGAAAGCUAGGGGAGCAAACAGGAUUAGAUACCCUGGUAGUCCUAGCCCUAAACGAUGAUCGCUUGGUGUGACGGGUACCCAAUCCCGCCGUGCCGAAGCUAACGCGUUAAGCGAUCCGCCUGGGGAGUACGGUCGCAAGCUGAAACUCAAAGGAUUGACGGGGCCCCCACAGCGUGGAGCAUGUGGUUAAUUCGACGCAACGCGA